rnacentral:rRNA from 1 species
CAAUAGCUCACCAUGUGAAUCUGCGUCAAGCCGAAUUGUGGUCUCACUUGCGCUAUUGGGCCGGGCCAAGUCCAUUGGAACACGGCAGCCGAGAGGGUGACACUCCCGUCCGCCCGGCCCUCUGAGCUUGUGUAUUCGAGUCGAGUUGUUUGGGAUUGCAGCUCUAAGCGGGUGGUAAAUUCCAUCGAAAGCUAAAUACUGGUGGGAGACCGAUAGCGUACAAGUACCGUGAGGGAAAGAUGCAAAG